GCAGCUACCCACACCCCUGUGGGUAUGACAAGCUGUGGCCUAGCCUCCUCAACAAGGAGAGGGAGGAGAGCCUGUGGCAGAAGUGAGUGAGCUCACCUGCCUGCAGAGUCCCUGAUAUCUUACUUCUGUCUAUUCACUUUUCCUCUCUGCCUGCCUUGCGUUUUCACCCUUUCAAUCCAUCCAGCUGAUGGAUCCCUUAUGCAUCCUACCUACCCCCUUACAUUCUUACUCUUCAUCACGUCCCUUCAUAAGGUGCCCUGGUCUCCUUCCUCUCCCUUUCACCUUCUGCUAGAGCACACAUGGCCAAACACCUCAUACUCACUGGAAUUUCCUUGUCUUGUGUUAUCAUUAGAGAAAAUUGUAUACAAUAUAUGUGUUAUAUAUUAUAUAUGUUAAUAUGUUAAUAUAUAUUGUAUACAAUAUAUGUUAUAUAUUAUAUAUGUUAAUAUAUGUUGUAUAUAAUAUAUAUAUUAUGUAAUAAAAAUUAUAUUUUUUAGCGAUGAGGUCUCGCUACCUUGCCCAAGCUGGUCUCGAACUCCUGGCCUCAAGCGAUCUUCUCACCUUAGCCUCCCAAGCAGCUGGGAUUAGAGAGCAUGUUUUUAUUCCCCACUACACUGAGCUCCUGCAAGGAAGGACCUCUGUUUUAUUCAUCCCAGAAUUCUAGUGCUGACAAAGAUUGUCUUAUUGACCAAAUUUUACUCAGGUUCCUUUGAGCUCUUUUUCAACUAGGCCUGGAUUUUUGGAUUUCUGAGUUUGUCUCUGCAUUGUCUGAUUUCAGCAAGGAAAUUGCUAAGUCCUGCUAAGUCUAUUUAGCCAUCCCCCAUAUCCAACCACUCUCAAUAUCUAAUCUGGUUCCUCAUCCUCCACCAUCUCCCAGGUGAUGUUUGAUCACCCUGGUGCCUUCAGCAAAAAUAAUGUUAGGUCGGUUUAGCCCAAAUCUUCCAUUAUGCCUGAUGUUUCGUCUUAGUAAAUUUCCAUCCAUUGACUCCCACCUUGUUCCUUGGCUCUAAAUUCCCAUUUGCCCACACUGUAUUUUAGCUGAUCUCAAUCUAUCUCCCCCAUUGCAAGAUGCCAUUGCAGUGAUUCCUAUACUUAUCUUGAUAUUGCCCCCUCGAACACAGUCUUUCUCACCAUCUUUAACAAGUGUCAUUUUAAAAAAAUUGAACAGUAAUGAUGCUGUGACUUUUAUAGGAUCAGAUUCAUCACUGGACUCCUGGACCUAUCACUGCAGACCUCAAAUGUGCACCUUUUAAGCCCUUUCCUUCACUCCUGACUGAUUGAUUUGGGAUCCACCGCUAAGUCAGACUUUUGAACCAUUGUUCCAGGCAAACUUCUGUUAAAGCUGUUUCAGAUGAGUUUCCAAUGUUUAUAUUCUAGUUGGACCACAAAUAAUGAGUCUCAUCUCAGCACCCGAAGGAGCUCUAUUCAAAUUGGCCGAAAGAUAAAUGAACACUUAUCUCCAUGGAAUAUUCCUAAAACUCCCAGCGAUAUAGAAAGAAACCCAAAUGCUUUUCAAGUUCACAUGACCUGGGUAAAUCUUUGAUGGAGUCUCCCUCUGUCGUCCAGGCUGGAGUGCAGUGGCGCGAUCUCUGCUCACUGCAACCUCCACCUCCCGGUUUUAUUCGAUUCUCCUGCCUCAGCCUCCUGAGUAGCUGGGACUACAGUGGCCUCAGGGAUAUGGAAUUAAGAUCCACCUGGUGUGAUGAAUAAACCCAGACUCUCAGCAACGCAGGAAAAAAAAAAAACUGGCUGGCGAUCUGGAGUAAAGGAUCCUCACAUAUCACGUGAACCAGGAAACUCUGUGCCCAAACCGAGGAAAAACAAACACUGGGAGAGCCGGUAAAGUAUUUCCUUGGUGGUGGGGACUAAGGAAAAAGCGGCAGGGUGGUAAAGCAUUCCUUAGUUAAGACAUACCAAGGAGAGAGAAACCACAGGGGCGGUAAAGCAUUCCUUGGUUGGGACUAGAGAAAGAAAUCCACAGGAGGUGGUAAAGUAUUCCUUAGUCAGGAUGUCUUGGAGGUUAAAAAGAUGUGAGAAAUUCCCACUGUGGGGGUUAAACCUUAAAAAGAGGUGAGAAAUCCCCAUUGUGGGAGUUGAAUCUCACACAAACCUCCGGUAGUAAAUAUAUAUUCAAAACUCCCCUUUCCUCUCUUCUCGGGGAAAGAAAAAGGCUAAGCUCCACUCCCACCGGUUGCUCCCCUAGGGGAAGGGGAAGGAGAGGGGGGAAAACAGCAGCAUAGGUGGCUGGCAGAGGCAAAGUCCAGCAGGGAGGAAAAAGAAACCAGGAAAGGAAGUCAGAGAGAAAGAGAGCAAAAACAGCAAGCGUGACGCCAGACAGGCGCACCAAGGGUUAAGUCCCUCUCCCCAGCCCAGCUCUAAGUGAAAAAGAGGGUGGGGAAUGGCGCCAGGAGGAGAGCAGAGGAGGUGAAAGGGCAUAAUUAUUGCAACUUGCAGUAGGCAUCUGCCAAGCCUCUGGGCCAGUGAUGGCCCAGGGUCUGGACUGCAGCCCCACAAAUCCCACCCAGCCCAAGAAACUGAGUGUAGGAAGAAAGGAAAAAAGUAAAAAGGGAAAUUAGGAAAAGAAAAAAAAAAGCAGACGAAACAGACAGCAGUGUGUGUGCGCGGGGGCGGGACCCAUGCCGUUGCCCGGCCUUGCCGGCCCCCGCAGGAGCGGGAGAACUUGGGAGGGAAAAAGGAAACAAGGGAUGACGGAGAGAGAGAGAAAAAAAGAGAGUGCAAAUGAGAGAGAGGAAUGGGGGAAAGAAUAAGUAAGAGAGAAACUGGAAGAGACAGAAAUCAAAGACAGAGGGUGAAACUAGGAAAAGAAAUAGUGUAAAAGGAAGGCAGAAAGUUAAGACAUGUUUAAGAUUGUCUGUGAAAGUUGUAAGAAAGGUUAUAAAGGGAAUUUAUGCAAGAAAUAUUGUAUAAUUUAAAAGUAAUUAGGCCUCCUGAAUGUAAAACUAUUAAAAAAGUUUAUGUACAAAGUAUGUAAGAAAAAUAAAAUAUACUUUUAAUAAAAGGAUUAUAAGGAGGCAUAAGAAUAUGGGUUUUUACCUACAUUAAAAGGUUUAAAAAAUUUUGUUUUAAAGGUUUAAGCAAGUCUUAACAUGUUAAUUGUAAAGGAAAUUCUGUGUGUAAACAUUUUGGCUAAAGUUAAAGGGUUUAUCAUCCAGUUUUUCUGUGACUCUUACCUUAUAGUCAGACAUUAAAAUUGGAUAAUGUCUACAAGAUUUUAUUAAAAUUAACAUUAAUAGCACAUUAAUAUAAAGGUAAAAUUUAGAUUAUCCGGUACAAAAUCAUACAAAAAGCAUUGUCAAAUAUAAAAUGGUGUUUAGCUUUCUUAAGGCCCGAGGGCGGCUGGGUAAGUCACAAGCCCCUCAUCCCCAAGGCCACAGUGUACAGGGGAGGUGAAGGCCACUAGAAGGCCAAGACUUUAAGAGGGGGCAGGGCCGCAGCAUCCCCUGAGCGGUGCUGAGCAGGAAUGGAGUGGGAGGCAUCACCAUUGGGCCUCAAGCCCCAGAAUAUGCAGCAAAAAUUAUAUACUUAAUUUAUCUUCCACUUUCCCUUCCCUCAGAACUGAAAGUCUUUUAGCACAGGUACCAGCCCUAGAAUUUCCAGUACACCAGCAGCAGCCUGCAAACCACAUCCUCAUCAAAAGACAGAAAGAAAAAAACUCGAGCUGGCCUGGGAAGGACUCUAUUUUAUGCUGUUAACCACUGAGACUGCCAUCCUCACAGCUGAGAAAGGAUGGACCCACCAUACUCGAGUCAAGAAAACAUCUUCCUCGUCAGAAUCAUGGGUUACUGUACUAGGAUUAAGCGCUACUAAGUUAAAGAAAGCUUAAUUUUCAUAUACCUUCUAUAUUGCUUCCUUUCCUUUCCUUAUUCUGUUACUAGCUCCUUUGUUAUUAAUGUAACUUAAGUCUGACUCACCUCAGACCAUUGCCUUUAAUGCUUGCUCUGUCAUACCUUGUAGAAAUGUAAAAGAUCAAUGACAGCUAGCCUUUUCACACAAUUAUUUAUGCCUCAGCCCUCUAAUUGACACAGUUACCCCUAGCACUCAUCGUUGUGAUCACCUGCAGCCAAGACACUGAUUUUCUGCUCCUAUAGCCUGGCAACCUUGUAGUACAUGGGACUACAUCCUUUAAACUACUCAGGAGCAAAGUUGGACUUCCAUGAAAAAGGUUUGUGCAGAUCUAAAACCUCUCAUCUAUUUCACAAAAGGACUGCCCCUUCUAACUGUCAGCCUUAUCAAUGUAACCCUGUCCUCUCUAUCACCACCUCCACCUUAACUAACUCUAGACCUGUCCUUAAUCGCUUUUAUUGUAUUGGAAUAGGAAUUAAAAGAAAUUAAAGAAUGUGUAAGGAGAAACUCAGUUGUAUGUAAGAAAACCCAAUUCCCUCUGAGAAAGAGAAAGAGUUGGAGUUGUUUAAAAAUUAACCGCCUGUUUUUCUGUGGCUAGUGAGCCUUAUCUCGCCUCCUUUCCCAGGCAUUGUGAAGACCCUGUUUCUCUAGCUGUGCAGCUGCAAGGUCACUAGACAGAUAAACUCAAGUUGUAAAACAUGUUUUUCCUUGAAAAGUAAGAAAUGCUGUAAUGCAUUUCUCAAUUAAUUAAAUAACUGUCUUUGUUUCUCACUUCUGUAAUAUGCUUUCCCCUGCACAAAUCUCCACCCACCCUACAAAAUGCUUAAAAGGUAACUUAACUCUUUGUUCUGGGUUCAGUCCUUUGGGCUGAGUACUGGGCCGGUGCACCUAAAUAAUAAAUAUCUUCCUGAACCCCA